AUGAACGCUGGCGGCGUGCUUAACACCUGCCAGUCGCACGAUGAAGCCCAGCUUGCUGGGUGGAUUAGUGGCGAACGGGUGAGUAACACGUGAGUAACCUGCCCUUGACUCUGGGAUAAGCCUGGGAAACUGGGUCUAAUACUGGAUAUGACUUCUCAUCGCAUGGUGGGGGGUGGAAAGAUUUAUUGGUCUUGGAUGGACUCGCGGCCUAUCAGCUUGUUGGUGAGGUAAUGGCUCACCAAGGCGACGACGGGUAGCCGGCCUGAGAGGGUGACCGGCCACACUGGGACUGAGACACGGCCCAGACUCCUACGGGAGGCAGCAGUGGGGAAUAUUGCACAAUGGGCGCAAGCCUGAUGCAGCGACGCCGCGUGAGGGAUGACGGCCUUCGGGUUGUAAACCUCUUUCAGUAGGGAAGAAGCGAGAGUGACGGUACCUGCAGAAGAAGCGCCGGCUAACUACGUG
rnacentral:rRNA from 1 species